UGCCAGCAGCCGCGGUAAUACGGAGGGUGCAAGCGUUAAUCGGAAUUACUGGGCGUAAAGGGCGCGUAGGCGGUUUGGUAAGUUGGGUGUGAAAGCCCCGAGCUCAACUCGGGAAUUGCAUUCAAAACUGCCAGGCUAGAGUGUGGUAGAGGGAAGCGGAAUUCCAGGUGUAGCGGUGAAAUGCGUAGAUAUCUGGAGGAACAUCAGUGGCGAAGGCGGCUUCCUGGACCACAACUGACGCUGAGGCGCGAAAGCGUGGGGAGCAAACAGGAUUAGAUA
rnacentral:rRNA from 1 species